rnacentral:misc_RNA from 1 species
GAUGAAGAACGUAGCGAAAUGCGAUAAGUAAUGCGAAUUGCAGAAUUUCCGUGAGUCAUCGAAUCUUUGAACGCACAUUGCGCCCACUGGUAUUCCGGUAGGCAUGCCUGUUCGAGCGUCAUUAUCCUCCCUCAAACCCCGGGUUUGGUGUUGGACCCAAGUUGUGUGAACAACUGGUCUCAAAGACAAUGACGGCGUCCGUGGGACCCUCGGUGCAACGAGCUUUUAGGAGCACGCGCCGAGUUGCAAGGACCUUCCGGGCCGGUCUCCUUUACUAUUUUACAAGGUUGACCUCGGAUCAGGUAGGAAUACCCGCUGAACUUAAGCAUAUCAAUAAGCGGAGGA